AGGACGAAUGCUGGCGGCGUGCUUAACACAUGCAAGUCGAACGGUGAAGGUGGAGCUUGCUCCGCCGGAUCAGUGGCGAACGGGUGAGUAACACGUGGGCAACCUGCCCCUCGCUCCGGGAUAACCUCGAGAAAUCGAAGCUAAUACCGGAUACGACCUGGUGCGACAUCACACCGGGUGGAAAGAAUUUCGGCGAGGGAUGGGCCCGCGGCCUAUCAGCUAGUUGGUGAGGUAACGGCUCACCAAGGCGACGACGGGUAGCC
rnacentral:rRNA from 1 species